AUGCUCGCGAGUGACCGGAAUCAUGACAAGAUCUCUACGAUCACGACAACCGACCCUGGUAACGAACCCGCCGAUUUCGACAGAGCCAUAUCUACGACCGGAUAUGGAUUGUUUAAUGUGCUAUUACUACUGGCGGUGCUGCCAAUUGCAUGGGCCGCCGUUUUUGACACUACCUCUAGCGCAUUCAUCUUGGCAUCGGCAGAAUGCGACCUUCAGCUUAUUACAUAUUUUCGUAAAGGCAUGCUUGUCGCAUUUCCUUACGUAGCUAUGACGAUGUCUGCUUUUUUAUGGGACUACAUAACGCCCUAUAUAAGUGUGAAAACGCUGUUCAUCCUCGCAUCAUUAGGUGAUUCAAUUUUGAAUAUUGUGAGCAGUGCGGUACAGAAGUAUUACAUAUUUCUACUAGUCAAAUUUAUGAGUGGAAUUUGCGUAGGCGGCCCGUUAGCGAUGGCGAUGACGUACCUGACGGAAUUCCAUUCGACGAGGUAUAAGCCCCGCUUUACCAUAUGGACGGGAUUUCUCUUCGCCAUGGCGAAUAUCAUACCAGCAGCUCUGGGCAUGAUAAUAUUACCGUUGGAUUGGCACAUCGAAAUCCUUAAGCAAGACUACAAUUCUUGGCGUAUAUAUCUACUGAUCUGCUCGAUACCUUCCGUCGUCGGUCUCUUGACAGCGUUCAUGUUACCGGAAAGCCCUAAGUAUCUCAUGGCAAUUGGCAGGUCAGAUGCUGCCUUGAAAUUGCUUAAGAGAAUAUAUUGUAUGAACACUAGGCAGCCUGCGGAUACGUUCCCGAUAAAAGCGCUGUUCGUUCAGCAAAAGACGCAAUUGGCGCGUCCCAUGCUCGAAGCGAGCCUCGAGAGGAUGCGCAUCUCGUUGUACAACACAAAAUUACUAUUGACAACGACGGCAUACCUGCCUGCCUUCGGCUUCGUAAGUUUCCUCCAAUUUGGAAGUAUGCUCGGAUUUAACACGAUGAGGCUAUGGGUGCCGCAUCUCUUUAUUAUUCUCAACAACUUUGAUCAGGACAAUUGGACGCUGAAGCACAGGCGGCAGCCGACCAUAUGCGAGAUGCUGGAUGUUAACGCAACCUUACCGGCCAGGCAAUAUUUGAAUUGCUCGAACUUUGACGACGUAUGUUUGAGGUGGACCAUUAAUCCCGACGUUUAUCGAAAUUCCACCAUCAUCGCAUCGUCAGCUGUUCUAUUCUCAUUUCUCGCCGGAUUCAUAAUGACUACCAAGCUUCGAAAACAGAUCAUAAUGCUCAUGGCCCUCCUGAUAUCGGCGGCAAGCAGUUUCGGAAUAAAUUGGGCGCAGUCUUCGCCGUAUAUGCUGACGCUGGCGGCGGCGGUUAUCGUGACGACAAGAAUAGCGGAGUCACGAGCACCAGUAUCCUAGUGACCAUUGGAAAUAUUGGCGCUAUCUUGGGAAAUCUAAUUUUCUCCGCGCUUCUGGACACCGAAUGCAUCAUAGCUUUCGUAGGAUUGGGCUGUUUUUUCUCAGUAUGCUUCUGCGUAUCUCUAUUCUUUCCGCAAUCUGUGAAAGAAUCGCCGGCGAAACUUGCUGAGAUUAGCACAUCAAAAUCAUGAAGAGAGCAACACACAAACAUUUCGAAGUCGUACCUACAAAAUUGUAGAAAUUCAAUUAAAUGUGUAGUUGCUUGAGAAAGCUUGGCUAGGCUGUGAUAUUUAUCUAAAACUAUUUAUCGAAGAAAGAAUUUAGGAAAAAAAUAUAAAAUAUAAAAUAAGAAAAAUUCAACGCUAAAUAAAUCUGACUUUCUUUCCUCCUUGGGAAAAAUAGACGUAAUAUAAUUUUUUAUAGAAUA
rnacentral:misc_RNA from 1 species